AUGGCGAACGGCGGCGAUGGCGACGGCGAUGUCCCGGAGAACGCCAACGAGCAUUGCCCCGGGACGCAGUCGGAGGCGGCCGGGAAGGCGGAGUCCUGCGCCGGGUGCCCCAACCAGCAGAUCUGCGCCACCGCGCCCAAGGGCCCCGACCCAGACCUGCUUGCCAUCAUUGAGCGAAUGAAUACUGUGAAACAUAAGAUACUGGUGUUGUCUGGAAAGGGUGGUGUCGGGAAGAGUACCUUUUCAGCCCAACUCUCUUUUGCCCUUGCUGAGAUGAACUAUCAGGUCGGCCUUCUUGACAUAGACAUAUGCGGACCUAGCAUCCCAAAAAUGUUAGGCCUUGAAGGCCAGGAUAUUCAUCAAAGCAAUGCUGGCUGGUCACCAGUGUAUGUUGAGUCCAACCUUGGUGUCAUGUCAAUUGGCUUCAUGCUGCCGAACCCAGAUGAUGCUGUCAUAUGGAGAGGUCCUCGCAAGAAUGGGCUCAUCAAACAGUUCCUGAAGGAUGUUGAUUGGGGAGAUAUCGACUACCUUGUGGUGGAUGCUCCUCCAGGAACCUCAGACGAACAUAUUUCAAUUGUGCAGUACCUCCAGAUUGCAGGAAUCGAUGGUGCCAUCAUCGUCACCACUCCGCAGCAAGUUUCUCUAAUUGACGUGAGGAAGGAGAUAAGCUUCUGCAAAAAGGUUAGCGUUCCUGUCCUCGGUGUCGUGGAGAACAUGAGUGGCCUGAGGCAGACACUUUCAGAUAUGAAAUUUGUGAAGCCAAGUGAGAAUGGCGAGACAGACGCCACUGAGUGGGCACUGGACUACAUCAAGGACAAGGCCCCCGAACUUCUAUCGCUCAUUGCAUGCAGCGAGGUGUUCGAUAGCAGCAAGGGUGGCGCCGAGAAGAUGUGCCAUGAGAUGGGGGUCCCUUUCCUCGGGAAGGUGCCCAUGGAUCCGCAGCUCUGCAAGGCGGCGGAGGAGGGGAGGUCAUGCUUCACAGAUCAGAAGUGCAGUGCAAGUGCUCCAGCUCUUAGAAGCAUAAUCAAGAAGCUGAUCAAGACACAGUAG
rnacentral:rRNA from 1 species